rnacentral:rRNA from 1 species
AUUGAACGCUGGCGGCAGGCUUAACACAUGCAAGUCGAGCGGAGAUGAGGUGCUUGCACCUUAUCUUAGCGGCGGACGGGUGAGUAAUGCUUAGGAAUCUGCCAUUUAGUGGGGGACAACAUUCCGAAAGGAAUGCUAAUACCGCAUACGUCCUACGGGAGAAAGCAGGGGAUCUUCGGACCUUGCGCUAAAUGAUGAGCCUAAGUCGGAUUAGCUAGUUGGUGGGGUAAAGGCCUACCAAGGCGACGAUCUGUAGCGGGUCUGAGAGGAUGAUCCGCCACACUGGGACUGAGACACGGCCCAGACUCCUACGGGAGGCAGCAGUGGGGAAUAUUGGACAAUGGGGGGAACCCUGAUCCAGCCAUGCCGCGUGUGUGAAGAAGGCCUUUUGGUUGUAAAGCACUUUAAGCGAGGAGGAGGCUACCUGGAUUAAUACUCUGGGAUAGUGGACGUUACUCGCAGAAUAAGCACCGGCUAACUCUGUGCCAGCAGCCGCAGUAA